GUUCCUGCAACCUGGAGCUUCCGUACUGAAAUGACAACCCUGUGGACCCCAAGGGAAAGAAGAAAGGAAGGGGUCACUGAGAGGGUCUGAUUCUGUAGGUUCAGGCUGCUGCCAGGAGAGAGGAAUGUCUACAACACUCACUAUUCCUGGAAUCUGAGUUUGAAAGAUUCUAAAUUUUAUUACUGGACAAACACCCUAAUGUAGACAUGAACAAGUCUCCAGAUUAAAAAUGUUGAACUCCAUGUAGGACGGCUCCAUGACCACAAUGAGUAUAAACUGCAGUCUUGCCAUUGUGUGGAUCCUUACGGACUCAGCUUCGUUCUCCUCCAGUGUCUUCUUCUAGAGUUGUACCUGUUUUGUUUUGUUUUAUUACCAAUUUUCAUCGGAAUCCAUUGAGGAAAAGGACAAUUUCGCUUUUGUUUCUUGGCCAGGAAUUGCUUGAUUCUGAAAGUCUUGUAAGACAACAUGGCGAGAAUUCGACUCAGGCGUAG
rnacentral:lncRNA from 1 species